GCCUAAAAGGGAGGCUUUGCUUGCACAGUCAAAUGAAACAAACACGCACAUAACUUAUGUAACAUCCAAGAAAGCAAAAAAGCAGCUAAGUGGAAAAAUACCCAGCCACAACAUUCUCAUGUGAUCCCCCCACAAGCACUGUAGCAGACAAUUCUGCAUUCAAAGCGAUAACAAUGCUCAUGCUUGUUUUCAAUGUGGCAACAAUAUUUUGUGGUGUAACAAUAGUUUGACUUCCUGAAGCGGUGCAGCAUGUUUGAAAUUGUUAACGUACUGCUUUGCUUAGGGCAUCGCUGAUCUUGUUUCCCCCUGAGGAAACCUGCUUAGCUGAAGAUCAUAAAAACUGCACAGAUAUUCUAAACCUGCAUUACCUGGCAGUGAGCCAGAUGCAAUAAGCACAGAGAAGGAUGGUGUCAAAAAUCGAAUGAGUUGGACGCUUAGCUCGAAUCUUGGCUGUAGACCACGCCCACCUGCCUUCGUACUUCAUCCUCCACUUCGGCCAGCAGAAGGUAUUUCAUCAACAGCUUCAUCACAAUACCUUUGAGCAAACACUGUCGGACCGCUUCGGCCUCGUAGCGCAUUCCCGUGCUGUUGAAGAAGUUGAGGGCUACGUCAGACUCUGGAACAGGAUACUGUGUCUUCUUCCCGUUGACCACCAAAGAGUUUGGACAGAUAACUAAAAAGUCUGCAUUCCUACCCUGAUGUUGCCAUUGGUGCCCACAAUGACGGCGUCGUUGUUUAGCUCCAUUCCUGAGGAGCACGUGAUCACGGCCAUGCGGCCUUUGGAGAACUUGAGAGUGACCACCACGGUCUCGUCCACUCCUGGAAACAUACGACUCCCAUGGCCUUGAUGCUCUGGGGCUUUUCUCCGCCGUACACCAUGAUGGAGAACUGCAGCGGGUAAAUGCCGAGGUCCAGCAAUGUUCCCGCGCCCAACUCCUUGUCCAUGGAUCGGGGCAAAUGCAUGAGUGACUGGCCAAAUUCGGCCUUCACCAUCUUCACCUCACCCAGCUCCCCAUGAGUCAGCAGCCGGCGCAUCUCCACUGAGGCUGGGAAAAAUCGACUCCACACGGCCUGGAACAGAAGUUCAGAAGUGAUUUUCACUCUGAGCACGGUUGUGAACGACGUGAUAUAAAGCUGUAGACAAA